rnacentral:rRNA from 1 species
UUUUUAGCGGCGGACGGGUGAGUAACGUGUGGGCAACCUGCCUUUUACUGGGGAAUAAUCACUGGAAACGGUGACUAAUACCACAUAAUAUUCUUGGAAGGCAUCUUCCGAGAAGGAAAGGAAAUAUUCGGUAAAAGAUGGGCCCGCAUCUGAUUAGCUAGUUGGUGAGAUAACAGCCCACCAAGGCGACGAUCAGUAGCCGACCUGAGAGGGUGACCGGCCACAUUGGGACUGAGACACGGCCCAAACUCCUACGGAAGGCAGCAG